rnacentral:sRNA from 1 species
UCCAGCGUCUAAUGAGGAAUUACCUUUCAAGCCUCAAGGUACCUGGUUGAAUAUGUCCAAUGUCGAGAGAGAAAAGCUGGAAUGGAUGAAAGAUUUACCUGCACCGUGCUCCACUUCCACAGAGACUGGAAGACCUGCCAGGUUUGAUUUCCAGGGAAAUCUGAUGGCUGUGGAUGCAGACGUGCCAGUCAACCUUGGCCUUCACCAUCAUGGAGAUGAACCUGAGAGAGCUGGUUACACCCUUGAAGAAAUCUUCCAACUGUCCAGGAGUUCUAAUCUUCAACAGAGAUCUCUUGCUUUAACAUACUUUAGCCAGAGUUAUUUCUAAUGCCAAAUCUGGGCAUCUGACAGACAGGAUAAGUAGUCCAGUCCUUCCCUCUUUAUUGGACGGAGGUGUGGUCAUUCUGCUGCGCUGGGCUCUGGAUGACAAUGUACCUAGCGCUGUUGCUGCUGCUGUCGAUGCUCUUCAUGCUUUACUGUAUAGCCCAUUGGAUGAGAAAGGCAAAGAUUUGCUAUGGCCUUGGUUCAAUGGUUACCUUCUGCCAACUUUAACACCAGCUGCAACUCUAGAGAAAGAAUCCCAGCCUGAGGACAUGGAUGAAGAGAACAAAGAAGAGGAAACAGAUGCAGAC